CGCGCGCGCGCGCGGCCGCGUCCGGGGCUCGAACCCGCCUCCGCAGCUCCGAGCGGCCCCGGAGGCCCCGGCGGCGGGAGCGCGGCCCGAGCUGCUCUCGUUCUGCUUCAGGACCCCUGAAAUGUCAGAGGUCGCGUGCAUGUGUACAUGUUAAUUAGGGCUCACAUUUAGUGAGUGUUCAGUCCUGGCCAGUCACUGCUCUGAGUGCUUUCAUGGAAGAAAGUGCGAUCCUUACAACAACCCUUCCAGAUCGGGAGUCAAAAAUAAAUUUACUACCAAACGCUAUCAGAUGAGUACUUACACGUGAAGAUCAGGAGAAAUAAUAGAAAUUGAAAAUCAGUUUUCCAUGCCUGCUCACUUUUGAUCUACCAUCUACGAUAAACUUGGUAAGAAUAAAUUUGUGCUAUUAAGGCAGAAAAUAUGGGAAAUUUACUAUCUAUUUGAAGUUUUGAGUUUUGUCUGUAAGCAAAUAGAAACGGCUCCUACCCCCACCUAUUUAAAAGCAUGAAA